GAGGCUCUAGCUUAAUUAAAGUGUUUGAGUUGCAUUCAGGAGAUGUGUAUUAAUAUUACAUGAGUCUU
rnacentral:tRNA from 1 species